UGAUAGCCUUCAGGCUUUUCUCACCAAGUUCUUCACUGCCAGCCUGUACUAUCAAUAGUGGAUAAUUUGCAUCACUUGCACUGGAAGGUGAGGCAACCUCCUCAUCUACAGCAACAGGCACCGAUGGAAACCCACCUCCCAUUGCUCUGCGGCUGGUCUCUGUCUCUCAAACGAAAUCCUUCAAAACUACACAGAAAAAAGUGAGCAAACUGCUUCCUCAUAGUGAUUUACAAAUUGUCACCUCAGAGAGGAGACCAGAUAUUCCCUGAUGUUUUGACAUCCUUCCUAAGCCUUCUCCUUCUGUGUGCUAGUAUAUGGGAGAAGGGAUGUAAAGUAAGAAAGAAACAUCGCAAUGCAUGGAAGGACAGAGUUACCAGCAGCUACUUUUUGUGUAACACUGGGAUCAGUCACUCACCCAUGUCCUCCCCCCAUACAAAAAUAACUUGGUCACUAAUGGCUUGUUGUGAUUUCCUCCUUAGGGUGAGAUUUUAGAAAAUACUUGAGGAUAAUUUUAAUGAAAACACAAGCAGACCAAAUCUGAGCAAUUCGUAUUUUUUCUCUUUUAUUUAGAGUUUGAAUCUAUAUUAUGAACUGAAAACUUUGAUUUUAAACUUGCUUGUAUUUGUGGAGAGAAAAAGCUGAAUAUGGAUCUGUUUUUCCGAGGGGUGCCCCCACCAGAACAACUCCCAUCUGUGCAACUGUGUGUGAAGUCCUCAAACCCUGGAGUGUUCUGGUUUGCAGUGCGACAAGGGGCAGAUCUGGUCUGCACCGAACACUGGUCAUCAAGGACACAGUUUUAGAUUGGAUUUAUGCUAUGCUUUGAAAGAUUUCCUUGGUUAUUCCUCAACUUUUCUUCGUCUAUAUGCACUCCUUCUGAUAACAAAAAUGUUUCUCAGCAGGUUUGUCUGGGACAGCCUCCAUCCUGCAAAGUGCUGUCAGGAAGCAAAGGAGGCAGGAAAGCGGCAGGACUCAGCAAGGACCUGCCUGUCAAACUGAAGAAGAAGGACAUGUGCAGGCAACGGAAACAAUGAUGCAUCACCUGGGAAGAAUACAGGGAUGCUGUCUGGAUGUGCACAGGAAAGCAAAGGCUCAGAUGGAACUGCGCUUGCAGGAACGUGAACUUGGUAGAAGAGCCUGGCAUGGAAAACCACUGAGUUCUGACACAUUCCAUUUGCUCCUAGCUCUUUGAUUUCUACUCACAGAAUCUGACAUAUGUUGGGCAUUGACCUUGCUCUUUUAAAUAAGCUUAUUUUAGAAGACCUUUGCAAAAUGCUGUCUGUUUGGCCUCGAUGUAAGCUGUGAGAGAAAUGUAGUACAAACACAGAAGUUGUAUGUUUUGAAUGCCAGAGAUGUUACACCAAAGAGCAGUUGGUGUGAUCUAUACUGCUGAAUGCUUUCUGUGCUGAUAGCAAGGCUGUGUCCUUAAAGAAAAUAAAGUUGUACUUCCUGCAUUGGACAAUCUUCCCUUGCUUUCUAUGAGUCUUGUUUUGUUUGGUUUUGUUUGUUUUUUGAGCAGGACCUUCAGGAUCAGGCCUCUUUCUCCAGCUUCAAAUGUUCUGACUGGGCUCUCAGACACUCAGUGGAGUGCAAGCAAAUAUCUCUAAUAGUAAGUAAGGAUCUGGACUCAGAAACCCUGGAGAAAAUCAAGGACUUGUCAGACCUCGGGGUACAGAAUUUGCCCCCAUAGAUGGCUCCAAAUGCUGCAGGCACUCAGAAGUGGGAGAGACUUGUCCAAAGCUUGGCCCCUUCCUUAUGGAACUGUGCACCAAGAGCGUUUCAGGAAGAGCCGUACCCUUCAUGGUGGAGAUUUGCUUUUCUUAGGGGAGCAACUUGUAGGAAAGUUCACAGGGAAAGUGCUGGGAUCCUACAAAUGCCAGUAUGAAUUGAUAUGCAAUAAAGCAAAUUGCCAGGUCCCAACAUUGCAAAUCACAGCAAGGGAAUGAAAAUGCUUCUGUUAGAUGGGUAGGUAAAAUGCCGUUCAUUAAGGCAUGUACCUGCUGAACUCCUACCAACUCCAGGAGUAGGAAAAGCAGAAAGAACCUGGAAGUGCAUUUGGGUCUCUUUGAUGUUCUUUUGCCAAGAGACAAACUCCUACACUCUUUACUUGGGCUGUAAGGUUUGGAGCCUGGAAAUUCAAUCAGCUGGAGAGCAUGUCCUGAGAACAGCCUGCUGAGAUCAGCCAUAUCUGAGUAAGUGGCAAUAAAACUCCACACAUAGGAAAACAGAUAUCAAAUUGCCAAAAUAAAUGUAAAUUUGAGUUCACGGUCAUGUGUGCCUUUUUAGACCCAAACAUGCCUUCACAUCCAGCAAGGAGAGGUGUCGGAGCUCUGCCAGAAUGUGAAUUCUCAUUGUCUGUGGCCCACAGACGGCUCUGCAUCCUGGCUUCCUCUCAAAGUGCCUGUCUCCAUUGGCUUCACA